AAAAUUUAAAUUAAAAUACUAAAAUAGUAAAUAAAUAUUUAUUAAAACUUAAAUAAUUUGGCGGUAUUUUAGUUCAUUUAGAGGAAUCUGUUUAAUAAUUGAUAUUCCACGAAUAAAUUUACUUAAUUUAUAAUUUUGUAUAUCGUUGUUAUAAAAAUAUUUUUUAAUAAAAUUAAUAUUUAAAAUUUAUUAUAUGAAUUUAAAUCAAAUCAAGAUGCAGAUUAUAAUUAAGAAUAUAAUGGAUUACAAUAAAUUAAUUUAAAUGAAUAUUAAUUUGUAAAAAUUAAUUGAAAGUGGAUUUAAAUGUAAUUUUAUUUAGUUUAAUAAAAUGAUUAAAAAUUAAAAUAUGU
rnacentral:rRNA from 1 species